CCAAGCUGUGUUCACACGGCGAGACCGCGGACGGCUCAUUAAAUCAGUCGUGGUCCAAAUGGGCCAGUGCAAAUCCUACUUGGAUAACUGUGGUAAUUCCAGAGCUAAUACAUGCAACUGAUAUCCCGAAGGCGGUGUUUGGGCUUGCUUGCCUUGCGCUGCGCUGCUCUGACGGAUGCUUUUAUUAGACCAAGCCGCUGAGGACUUGAGGGUUCGCGCUCUCUUGUCUGACUCGUGUGAUGGUGACUCUGGAUAACCAAAUUCUGACAAGCGCACGUACUUCUCUUCUGAGCGAGACGGCGCUGCCACUUUCGAGUGUCUGCCUUAUCAGCUAUCAACCGUUCGUUAUGCGCGACCGAUGGCUUUGACGGGUAACGGGGAAUCAGGGUUCGAUUCCGGAGAGGCAGCCUGAGAGACGGCUACCACGUCCAAGGACGGCAGCAGGCACGCAAAUUACCCAAUCCCAGCAAAUGGGGGAGGUAGUGACGAAAUCUAACGAUGCGGGCGCCCUUUCUGGGGCCCCGCAAUCGG
rnacentral:rRNA from 1 species